UUUGUUCUAUAACAAGUGCACUUGUUCAAAAGCUAGCUUUUGAACAAGUGCACUUUUCUUAGAACAAA